rnacentral:ribozyme from 2 species
ACGAUAACUCCGCCUGCAGCUCUUUUAUAGUUACUGCCGGUCCCAAGCCCGGGUAAAGGAGGGGGGUUGA